rnacentral:rRNA from 1 species
GACGAACGCUGGCGGCGUGCUUAACACAUGCAAGUCGAACGGAAAGGCCCCUUUGGGGGUACUCGAGUGGCGAACGGGUGAGUAACACGUGAGUAACCUGCCCUUGACUUCGGGAUAACUUCAGGAAACUGGGGCUAAUACCGGAUAGGAAUCCUUGCUGCAUGGUGGGGGUUGGAAAGCUUCGGCGGUUUUGGAUGGACUCGCGGCUUAUCAGCUUGUUGGUGGGGUAGUGGCUUACCAAGGCUUUGACGGGUAGCCGGCCUGAGAGGGCGACCGGCCACAUUGGGACUGAGAUACGGCCCAGACUCCUACGGGAGGCAGCAGUGGGGAAUAUUCCACAAUGGGCGGAAGCCUGAUGCAGCAACGCCGCGUGCGGGAUGACGGCCUUCGGGUUGUAAACCGCUUUCAGCAGGGGCGAAGCUUGUGGUGACGGUACCUGCAGAAGAAGCACCGGCUAACUACGUG